ensembl:lncRNA novel transcript, antisense to FER
AAGUAUUCACUUUCAGAAUUAGAUCCUGUGAACAGUUUUAAAAAAUCAUCUGUGUUUUUCAAGAUGAAGAGAAGAUGAGGAUUUUAUAAAUGUGAAUUCAAUAUGAGGAUUUUAUAAAUGUGAAUUCAAUAGGGAAAUAAAAAUGAAUAUGAGUCAUAUUCUUUUACCGUCUGUUGGUUGGCAGUGUUUCAGCAGUGCAUUGGGUAGUGUGUAAAGGUAGGAGAAGGUAGAAAGGAAGUUAGAAAGGCAUCUUCCUUCAUCCACUUCUACAACCAUGCCCCUCACUGGGGACCAGACAUUAGGGCACAGUAUUUUAUCACGAGCUUUCUUUUUGUCGAGACUGUAUGCUACACAAGUGCAUGCAAGCCUGUCACCAUUACUUAGUUAUUCCCAUCUAUGGUCUAGGAACCCCAAAGGGUUUCUUCAGAAGUGCUACAAUGUUGUCAUAUUCUCAAAGACUUCCUGAAGACUAACUGCAUUUCAAUUGGGAAUAUUAUUUAAAAGGAGGUUUAUCUGGCAUAGAAUACAAGAGUUUGAGAAACACCACCCUAUUUCUCUUAACGACAGUGAACAGCACAAUCCUGCAGCUGUCAUGCCAGACAGGGAAAGGGUGGAAGAAAAGCCUAUAUACCUCUCUCUCGCAUUGAAAUCCUUCAAAGUGUUUGGAUAAAGAGCAGAGAUGUUAGAUAAAUCUGCUUCUGAACCCCAGAGAUGGUCUCAUAACACAACCAAACAGUAUUUAACACACCCCUCCUCAAGCAGACACACUAUAAGCACUGCCUACCCCUGGGGCUGGACAUGAACACUAACAAUGAAUGUACUUGGCUCACCUCUUUCUACUUGCUCUCUUGCUUGCUGAUUUGUCAUUCCAGGGUACGGACAAACCCCUAAGCUGAAGGUCUCCCAGAGAAGGAUGCCAAAGCUCCACACGUCACUCUCUGAACUGUAUCUCCCUGGAAGAGGAACAACAACCAUAACCACAUGAGGCACAGUAGACAAGCUAACCUAGCAGAAUGUGGUAGAAGUGAUGGUAUGAAGUUCUGGAGUGUAGGCCACAAGAGACCUUGCAGCUUCCAACUUUUGUCUUUCUGGAACAUUCCUGAUACCAUGUAAAGAAGCCCAGGAACUGCUUCUUGGAAUACCUCUGGCGCCAGCAAAUGCCAUACUCCGAGGAUUCUACUACUACCACUUUUAGUCUGAUAUAAAGAGAAGAAAAAUUUAAACCUGGCAUAUUGAAACUAUUUAAUUUAGAGGCACUCAAAUUAGAGCAAUAGAGAUAA